GAUGAAGAACGUAGCGAAAUGCGAAAAGUAGUGUGAAUUGCAGAAUUCAGUGAAUCAUCGAAUCUUUGAACGCACAUUGCGCCCUUUGGUAUUCCGAAGGGCAUGCCUGUUCGAGCGUCAUUAUCACCCCUCAAGCCCUCGGCUUGGUGUUGGACGGUUUGGUGGAGGCCCCCUCGGGGGCUCCUGCCCCUCCCAAAGACAAUGACGGCGGCCUCGUUGGACCCCCGGUACACUGAGUUCUUCACGGGACACGUAUCGGACACAUGGGUUUACGGGACACGGUCUGCCUCCCCUCAGGGAGAAUCUUUCUAAGGUUGACCUCGGAUCAGGUAGGGAUACCCGCUGAACUUAAGCAUAUCAAUAAGCGGAGGA
rnacentral:misc_RNA from 1 species